rnacentral:rRNA from 1 species
ACUCAAAUGAAUAGACGGGGGCCCGCACAAGCAGUGGAGUAUGUGGUUUAAUUCGAAGCAACGCGAAGAACCUUACCAGGUCUUGACAUCCCUAGAAGUCGCUUGAGAGAGCGAUGUGCCUACGGGAACUAGGUGACAGGUGGUGCAUGGUUGUCGUCAGCUCGUGUCGUGAGAUGUUGGGUUAAGUCCCGCAACGAGCGCAACCCUUAUUGUUAGUUGCUAACAUUCAGUUGAGCACUCUAACGAGACUGCCGUUGACAAAACGGAGGAAGGUGGGGACGACGUCAAAUCAUCAUGCCCCUUAUGUCCUGGGCUACACACGUACUACAAUGGCUGUAUAACAACGGGAAGCGAAGUCGCGAGGCGGAGCAAAUCCCCAAAAGCAGCCCCAGUUCGGAUUGCAGGCUGAAACUCGCCUGCAUGAAGUUGGAAUUGCUAGUAAUCGCGGAUCAGCAUGCCGCGGUGAAUACGUUCCCGGGCCUUGUACACACCGCCCGU